rnacentral:rRNA from 1 species
CCCGCCGGCGACCGGCGCACGGGUGAGUAACACGUAUGCAACCUGGCCGCCACAGGGGGAUAACCCACGGAAACGCGGCCUAAUACCCCGUGACGCCACCGGAGGGCAUCCUCCGGUGGCCAAAGGAGCGAUCCGGUGGCGGAUGGGCAUGCGGCGCAUUAGCUAGACGGCGGGGUGACGGCCCACCGUGGCGACGAUGCGUAGGGGUUCUGAGAGGAAGGCCCCCCACACUGGGACUGAGACACGGCCCAGACUCCUACGGGAGGCAGCAG